rnacentral:rRNA from 1 species
UACGUAGGUGGCAAGCGUUGUCCGGAUUUACUGGGUGUAAAGGGCGUGCAGCCGGGCUGACAAGUCAGAUGUGAAAUCCCGCGGCUCAACCGCGGAACUGCAUUUGAAACUGUCAGUCUUGAGUACCGGAGAGGUCAUCGGAAUUCCUAGUGUAGCGGUGGAAUGCGUAGAUAUUAGGAGGAACACCAGUGGCGAAGGCGAAUUGCUGGACUGUAACUGACACUGAGGCACGAAAGCGUGGGGAGCAAACAGG